CCUACGGGUGGCAGCAGUGGGGAAUAUUGCACAAUGGGGGAAACUCUGAUGCAGCGACGCCGCGUGAAGGAUGAAGUAUUUCGGUAUGUAAACUUCUAUCGGCAGGGAAGAAAGUGACGGUACCUGACUAAGAAGCACCGGCUAACUACGUGCCAGCAGGCGCGGUAAUACGUAGGGGCCACGCGUUAUCCGGAUUUACUGGGAGAAAAGGGAGCGUGGCCGGCAGAGCAAGACUGAUGUGAAAGCUCGGGGCUCAACCCCGGGACUGCAUGGGAAACUGUCAGGCUAGAGUGUCGGAGAGGCAAGUGGAAGUCCAUGUGUAGCGGUGAAAUGCGUAGAUAUUAGGAGGAACACCAGUGGCGAAGGCGGCUUGCUGGACGAUGACUGACGUUGAGGCUCGAAAGCGUGGGGAGCAAACAGGAUUAGAUACCCUAGUAGUC
rnacentral:rRNA from 1 species